rnacentral:rRNA from 1 species
AUUGAACGCUGGCGGCAUGCCUUACACAUGCAAGUCGAACGGUAACGGGCCUUCGGGUGCCGACGAGUGGCGCACGGGUGAGUAAUACAUCGGAACGUGCCCGAUCGUGGGGGAUAACGAGGCGAAAGCUUUGCUAAUACCGCAUACGAUCUACGGAUGAAAGCAGGGGACCGCAAGGCCUUGCGCGGACGGAGCGGCCGAUGGCAGAUUAGGUAGUUGGUGGGAUAAAAGCCUACCAAGCCGACGAUCUGUAGCUGGUCUAAGAGGAUGAUCAGCCACACUGGGACUGAGACACGGCCCAGACUCCUACGGGAGGCAGCAGUGGGGAAUUUUGGACAAUGGGCGCAAGCCUGAUCCAGCCAUGCCGCGUGCAGGAUGAAGGCCUUCGGGUUGUAAACUGCUUUUGUACGGAACGAAAAGCCUUCUUUUAAUACAGGAGGGUCAUGACGGUACCGUAAGAAUAAGCACCGGCUAACUACGUG